rnacentral:rRNA from 1 species
CCUACGGGUGGCAGCAGUGAGGAAUAUUGGUCAAUGGACGAGAGUCUGAACCAGCCAAGUAGCGUGAAGGAUGACUGCCCUAUGGGUUGUAAACUUCUUUUAUAUGGGAAUAAAACGUUCCACGUGUGGGAUUUUGUAUGUACCAUAUGAAUAAGGCUCGGCUAACCCCGUGCCAACCGCCGCGGUAAUACGGAGGAUCCGAGCGUUAUCCGGAUUUUUUGGGUUUAAAGGGAGCGGAGGUGGAUGGUUAAGUCAGUUGUGAAAGUUUGGGGCUCAACCGUAAAAUUGCAGUUGAAACUGGCAGUCUUGAGUACAGUAGAGGUGGGCGGAAUUCGUGGUGUAGCGGUGAAAUGCUUAGAUAUCACGAAGAACUCCGAUUGCGAAGGCAGUUCACUGGACUGCAACUGACACUGAGGCUCGAAAGUGUGGGUAUCGAACAGGAUUAGAUACCCCUGUAGUC